rnacentral:tRNA from 1 species
GGAAGAAUGACCGAGCGGUUUAAGGUGUAUGUCUUGAAAACAUAUGUACAACACAUCGUGGGUUCGAAUCCCACUUCUUCCG